UACGGAGGAGGCAAGCGUUAUCCGGAAUUAUUGGGCGUAAAGCGUCCGCAGGUGGCAAUGUAAGUCUGCUGUCAAAGCGUCUGGCUCAACCAGAUAAAGGCAGUGGAAACUACAUAGCUAGAGUAAGGUAGGGGUAGAGGGAAUUCCUGGUGUAGCGGUGAAAUGCGUAGAGAUCAGGAAGAACACCGGUGGCGAAAGCGCUCUGCUGGACCUUAACUGACACUGAGGGACGAAAGCUAGGGGAGCGAAUGGG
rnacentral:rRNA from 1 species